CCAGGGGGCUGGGUGGCCGCCGUCCCGACUUGUCGGGAGGGAGGAACGUCCGAGCUCCACCGGGCAGGGUGCCGGGUAACACCCGGGCGAGGCGACUCGACGGAAAGUGCCACAGAAACAUACCGCCCCGCUCGCGGGGUAAGGGUGAAAUGGUGCGGUAAGAGCGCACCGGUGCCCUCAGUAAUGCGGGCGUCGUGCAAACCCCACCCGGAGCAAGGCCAAAUAGGGGGACAGUCCGUCCGCUUCGGCGGACGGAGAAGGGGCGCCCGGCCCCGUCCUCGGGUAGGCCGCUUGAGCCCGCCGGUAACGUCGGGCCUAGAUAGAUGGUCACCGGCCCCGAUUCGUCGGGGUUACAGAACUCGGCGUACAGGCCACCUGGCUCC
rnacentral:RNase_P_RNA from 1 species